UUGACCUCGGAUCAGGUAGGAAUACCCGCUGAACUUUAAGCAUAAA
rnacentral:rRNA from 1 species